rnacentral:rRNA from 1 species
UACAGAGGUCUCAAGCGUUGCUCGGAAUCACUGGGCGUAAAGGGUGCGUAGGUGGCGCGGUAAGUCGGGUGUGAAAUUUCGGAGCUUAACUCCGAAACUGCAUUCGAUACUGCCGUGCUUGAGGACUGGAGAGGAGACUGGAAUUUACGGUGUAGCAGUGAAAUGCGUAGAGAUCGUAAGGAAGACCAGUGGCGAAGGCGGGUCUCUGGACAGUUCCUGACACUGAGGCACGAAGGCCAGGGGAGCAAACGGG